rnacentral:rRNA from 1 species
UACAUGCAAGUAGAACGCUGAAGAGAGGAGCUUGCUCUUCUUGGAUGAGUUGCGAACGGGUGAGUAACGCGUAGGUAACCUGCCUUGUAGCGGGGGAUAACUAUUGGAAACGAUAGCUAAUACCGCAUAACAAUGGAUGACACAUGUCAUUUAUUUGAAAGGGGCAAUUGCUCCACUACAAGAUGGACCUGCGUUGUAUUAGCUAGUAGGUGAGGUAACGGCUCACCUAGGCGACGAUACAUAGCCGACCUGAGAGGGUGAUCGGCCACACUGGGACUGAGACACGGCCCAGACUCCUACGGGAGGCAGCAGUAGGGAAUCUUCGGCAAUGGGGGCAACCCUGACCGAGCAACGCCGCGUGAGUGAAGAAGGUUUUCGGAUCGUAAAGCUCUGUUGUAAGUCAAGAACGAGUGUGAGAGUGGAAAGUUCACACUGUGACGGUAGCUUACCAGAAAGGGACGGCUAACUACGUGCCAGCAGCCGCGGUAAUACGUAGGUCCCGAGCGUUGUCCGGAUUUAUUGGGCGUAAAGCGAGCGCAGGCGGUUUGAUAAGUCUGAAGUUAAAGGCUGUGGCUCAACCAUAGUUCGCUUUGGAAACUGUCAAACUUGAGUGCAGAAGGGGAGAGUGGAAUUCCAUGUGUAGCGGUGAAAUGCGUAGAUAUAUGGAGGAACACCGGUGGCGAAAGCGGCUCUCUGGUCUGU